rnacentral:rRNA from 1 species
GCCUAGCCGUAACAAAACAAUUAAAUAACUGAUUGUUCGCCAAAUAACUACGAGUGAAAACUUAAAAUUUAAAAGACUUGACGGUGCUUCACACCAACCUAGAGGAGCCUGUCUAAUAACCGAUAAUCCACGAUUCAACCAACCCGCUCUAGCCUAACAGUCUAUAUACCGCCGUCGCCAGCUUACCUUGUGAAAGAAAUAAAGUAAGCCUAAUAACACCACACUAAUACGACAGGUCGAGGUGUAACUAAUGAGUGGGCAAAGAUGGGCUACAUUUUCUAACUCAGAAAACACGGAUAAACUAUGAAACUAGAAACUGAAGGCGGAUUUAGCAGUAAGCUAAGAACAGAAUGCUCAGCCGAAACCAACGCAAUGAAGUGCGCACACACCGCCCGUCAUCCCUGUAAAAAAAUAUGAAUUAUUCAUAAACAAAUUAUUGACCACAAAGCAGGGCAAGUCGUAACAUGGUAAGCGUACUGGAAGGUGCGCUUAGAAA